GCAGCGUAAUUUUUUUUUUGCACUCGGUGACCUUUGACCUUGGGUGCAAAUUAAAGGUCACAUGAACUUAAGAUUAUUGGUGUAGGUCCCAAGUCUUUACGACUUCCGGUUCUCGAGAUACAAUUUUUCAAAAAUUGUUUAUAUUUUUUCAAGGGAAAUAACUCCUUAUAAGGGUUAACAACAAAAUGAUUGUAUAUGUUAAUUAACAUUGCCAUAUGGUCCUGUACUUGUUGCCGUUUUCAAAUCGAUUCUAUCUUGAAUACUUUUUGAGAAAAAUGUAAAAGAAAGAAAUUGCUUCAAGGGGACAUAACUCUCAUAGGGAAUGAUGAAAUCCUUAGCAGCCUCAUAUGGUAACACAUCAUGAUGAGAUCUAACUAUUGUCAAAUAAGGUCAUGAUAUCUUCAAAAACAACGAGGGGGGGCCAUGUCGAAAAAAACCAAUAAAAGGGAGAUAACUUCUAAAGGGGAUGAUGAAAUCCUACACAGCCUCAUCUGGUAAUACUUCAUGAUGAGGUCUACCGAUGGUCCAUAUUUGGUCUUGAUAACUUCAAUAGAAACAAGGGGAGGCCAUGUUAAACAAAUGCUGGAUGAAAAAAAAAAAAAAAAAAAAAACAGGAGAAAAACAAUAAGGUCUUUCCUCGCGGAGAGGAAAGACCUUAAAAAUUUGGUUUUGUUG
rnacentral:lncRNA from 1 species